CAUAGUCAAGUUCCCAUAUCUCAUCUAUGUACCCGUAAUAUGUUUCCAAACAGUGUCCAUUCUCGUAUGUUACAUCAAAGCGGACACCACUAUUUUGGUUGGUGCUCUUUUUAUCUUGGGCAACCGUGUAAAAUGUAUUCCCAUUUAUCUCAUACCCUUGGAAAGUACAUAUAGUCAAAGAUGGUGGCUUGGCCAAAUAGUACAGUUGAUCUCCAACGGUGUCGUCAUUCAUGAGAUGUGUCUGCAACCAACUGCCGAAAGUCUUCU
rnacentral:lncRNA from 1 species